rfam:Sorghum bicolor cultivar BTx623 chromosome 3, whole genome shotgun sequence.
ACAACACGAGGAACACAACAACAAAAAUCGUCAAUCGCGGGUGUUCUCGCUCCUCGGCAAUGGACCGGACCCAAGUUCCCUUGAAAGGGAUGCCUUAGAGUGAGCCUCAUCCAGCUUAGAUCAUAUCGUGCCACAAGACACCAUUACUGAGUUAGGUUGUUUGAGAGUGCAGCCCAAAUCAGGCGAUAAACUCCAUCCAAAGUUAAAUAAGCAAACAAGUACCGCAAGGCUAAGAUGAAAAGGAUUUUGAAAAGAGAGUCAAAAAAUGUUUAAAAUUGCCAUGAAGGAAGCAGAUAGGGCCCGCUGAUGAUGCACCCCAAUCAUAUGCGGAACGGCUUGUGUUGGUCCACCAAUCGACUCAAGACAUGAAAUGUUGUCGUUGGCAGCGUAAGCCCAAGGGACCUAAGUGCCUUCAGCAGCUGUUAUCAGCAUGGCCACUCUCCGCACACUGCAACACGUGUCCCACAGGGCGCUGCGCUGCAACGACUUGCGAGCUCCUCAUCUCAAAACACAG